rnacentral:rRNA from 1 species
UACAGAGGUCUCAACCGUUGUUCGGAUUCAUUGGGCGUAAAGGGUGCGUAGGCGGUCGGGUAAGUCGGAUGUGAAAUCCCAGGGCUCAACCCUGGAACUGCAUUCGAUACUGCCUGGCUAGGGUACUGGAGAGGAGACUGGAAUUUACGGUGUAGCAGUGAAAUGCGUAGAUAUCGUAAGGAAGACCAGUGGCGAAGGCGGGUCUCUGGGCAGUAACUGACGCUGAGGAGCGAAAGCGUGGGGAGCGAACAGG